GAUUCUUUUAUUUUAUUUUUUUUUUCAGGUUGUUGGCCAGCAGCAUCAGUGUAAAUGUCCACGGGGCUGGGACUAUUUAUAACCAUAGAAACUAAUACAAGACUUUGACCCUCAACUCCUCUGAAUGGAUAAACACAUCUGUGAUGGAAUAGCUCCUAUCUUCCUAUAGCCUUUGUAUUUCUGCAGAGUGCCUCAGAUAGCUCUGAAGUCCUCCUUCAGCCAGCAGGAGAGCUGCGAAGAGACGGGGAGAAGCCCACAACGGCCUUCCGAGAGGCACAAUGCAUACUACUUACUAUUAGAUGCGUACUACUAAUUUAUCAC
rnacentral:lncRNA from 1 species